AUAAGAGUUUGAUUCUGGCUCAGGACGAACGCUGGCGGCGUGCUUAAGACAUGCAAGUCGAGCGGAGCAUUUGGGAGCUUGCUUCUAGAUGCUUAGCGGCGGACGGGUGAGUAACGCGUGAGCAACCUGCCCUAUACAUCGGGAUAACGUUUGGAAACGAACGCUAAUACCGGAUAUGACCACAACCCCACAUGGGGAAGAGGUGAAAGGGUUUACUGGUAUAGGAUGGGCUCGCGUCUGAUUAGCUUGUUGGCGGGGUAACGGCCCACCAAGGCGACGAUCAGUAGCCGACCUGAGAGGGUGAUCGGCCACAUUGGAACUGAGAUACGGUCCAGACUCCUACGGGAGGCAGCAGUCGGGAAUAUUGGGCAAUGGAGGAAACUCUGACCCAGCAACGCCGCGUGAAGGAUGAAGGUCCUCGGAUUGUAAACUUCUGUCCUAUGGGAAAAAUAAAGUGAUGGUACCAUAGAAGAAAACCCCGGCAAACUACGUGCCAGCAGCCGCGGUGAUACGUAGGGGGUAAGCGUUGUCCGGAAUGACUGGGCGUAAAGGGUGUGUAGGCGGUUUAUUAAGUUGAAUGUGAAAGCCCGGGGCUUAACUCCGGAACUGCAUUCAAAACUGGUAGACUAGAGUGUGGGAGAGGUAAGUGGAAUUCCUAGUGUAGCAGUGAAAUGCGUAGAUAUUAGGAGGAACAUCAGUGGCGAAGGCGACUUACUGGAACAUAACUGACGCUGAGGCACGAAAGCGUGGGGAGCAAACAGGAUUAGAUACCCUGGUAGUCCACGCCCUAAACGAUGAUUACUAGAUGUUGGUGGUAUCGACUCCAUCAGUAUCGAAGCAAACGCGAUAAGUAAUCCGCCUGAGUAGUACGGCCGCAAGGUUGAAACUCAAAGAAAUUGACGGGGACCCGCACAAGCAGAGGAGCAUGCUGUUUAAUUCGAAGCAACGCGAAGAACCUUACCAAGACUUGACAUCCAAUGAAUGCCAUAGAAAUAUGUCAGUUUAGCAAUAAACAUUGAGACAGGUGGUGCAUGGUUGUCGUCAGCUCGUGUCGUGAGAUGUUCGGUUAAGUCCGGCAACGAGCGCAACCCUUAUGAACAGUUGCCAAUAUUAAGUUAGGAACUCUGUUCAGACUGCCGUGGAUAACACGGAGGAAGGUGGGGAUGACGUCAAAUCAUCAUGCCCCUUACGUCUUGGGCUACAGGCGUGCUACAAUGGCCACUACAAAGAGACGCAAGACCGCAAGGUGGAGCAAAUCUCAAAAAAGUGGUCUCAGUUCGGAUUGUGGGCUGCAACCCGCCCACAUGAAGCCGGAUUUGCUAGUAAUCCCGAAUCAGAAUGUCGGGGUGAAUUCGUUCCCGGGUCUUGUACACACCGCCCGUCACGCCAUGGGAGUCGGGAGCACUCGAAACCGGUGUCCUAACCAGCAAUGGAGGGAGCCGUCUAAGGUGAGACUGAUGACUGGGGUGAAGUCGUAACAAGGUAGCCGUACGAGAACGUGCGGCUGGAUCACCUCCUU
rnacentral:rRNA from 1 species